rnacentral:rRNA from 1 species
AGAGAGAGACAUGCGCGCAUAUCAAUAAGCGGAGGAAAAGCAACUAACAAGGAUUCCCCUAGUAACGGCGAGUGAAGCGGGAAGAGCUCAAAUUUGAAAUCUUAAAGGGUUUCCCUUUACGAAUUGUAGUUUAAAGAAGUGUUUUCUGUUGAGGUUUUGGUAAAAGUUCUUUGGAAUAGGACAUCAUAGAGGGUGAGAAUCCCGUAUUUGACCUUUACUUUCAACUUUGUGAUACACUUUCAAAGAGUCGGAUUGUUUGGGAAUGCAGUCCAAAAUGGGUGGUAAAUUUCAUCUAAAGCUAAAUAUUGGCGAGAGACCGAUAGCGAACAAGUACCGUGAGGGAAAGAUGAAAAGAACUUUGAAAAGAGAGUUAAACAGUACGUGAAAUUGUCAAAAGGGAAGCGUUUGACACCAGUGUUGUUUUUCUGAAAAUCAAUUAAAGAACUGUUUAUGCUAAGCUGUUUAGACUUUAUCAGCUAACUGUUUAGUUUUGAGCUUUUCUUUAAUGCACUUUUCAGUUAACAAGUCAACAUCAAUUUCUUUUGCUGUAAAAAAGCUUGAGGAAGGUGGCUUGAGAUUCGUCUUAAGUGUUUAUAGCCUCUUGCCUAUGCAGUCGGAGAGAUUGAGGUCUGCAGCGUAGAUCCUUCGGGGCUAAAUGCAUUUGUGCUAAGUUAUAGCAUUUUAUAGACAACUUGUUGACUAUGAUUUGUCUUGUAGCUUACUCGCUUAUGUUAUUUUACCUACGCUUAGGAUGUUGAUGUGAUACUGCGAGCA